rnacentral:rRNA from 1 species
UACGUAGGGGGCAAGCGUUGUCCGGAUUUAUUGGGCGUAAAGAGCGUGUAGGCGGCCAGACAGGUCCGUUGUGAAAACUCGAGGCUCAACCUCGAGACGCCGAUGGAAACCGUCUGGCUAGAGUCCGGAAGAGGAGAGUGGAAUUCCUGGUGUAGCGGUGAAAUGCGCAGAUAUCAGGAAGAACACCCGUGGCUAAGGCGGCUCUCUAGUACGGUACUGACGCUGAGACGCGAAAGCGUGGGAGCGAAGCAGG